rnacentral:rRNA from 1 species
GAUGAACGCUGGCGGCGUGCCUAAUACAUGCAAGUCGAGCGAACGGACGAGAAGCUUGCUUCUCUGAUGUUAGCGGCGGACGGGUGAGUAACACGUGGAUAACCUACCUAUAAGACUGGGAUAACUUCGGGAAACCGGAGCUAAUACCGGAUAAUCUUUUGAACCGCAUGGUUCAAAAGUGAAAGACGGUCUUGCUGUCACUUAUAGAUGGAUCCGCGCUGCAUUAGCUAGUUGGUAAGGUAACGGCUUACCAAGGCAACGAUGCAUAGCCGACCUGAGAGGGGGAUAGGCAACACUGGAACUGAGACACGGUCAAGACUCCUACGGGAGGCAGCAGUAGGGAAUCUUCCGCAAUGGGCGAAAGCCUGACGGAGCAACGCCGCGUGAGUGAUGAAGGUCUUCGGAUCGUAAAACUCUGUUAUUAGGGAAGAACAUAUGUGUAAGGAACUGUGCACAUCGUGACGGUACCUAAUCAGAAAGCCACGGCUAACUACGUG